CCACCUACCCAUAUCCUAGAUUCAUUCUCAAAUCACAUAAUGCCAUUUGGUCCAAUAUUUAAAUAUCAGCAUAAUUUCUCCCACGAUUAAAAAAUUAAUGAAAAUCCACUUUUUUCUUAAUUAUUGAACACAAUCCAUAAUGCAUGUUUGACGAAAUCAUCAAUUUAACAAAAUUACUUUGACACACAGCUAUCAUAUAUAUAUAUAUAGCAAUCCAAACAUGCAGAUGGAUAAUUUACCUGAAGAGGAAGAAGUGGUGGAAACUCCAUUAGGAUAAAAGCUAUAACUGAUAAAGCAACUAAAAAGAUAAAUCUGAGCAGAAAUUGAAUCACCACACUCCAAUUUAGCUUGUUCUUCAGCACUCUUAACACAAUUACCACAAUCAUCAUUUCCCAAACUACUCUCACACUGUCCCAAAACAUACAAAGAUGAAUAACUACCCGUAUAGAACAAAUUCCCACUCUUCACACCAUUCUCCACCAUUCCAAACGCUGAAUCCCUCUUAGCUUCAAACCCAACACCAUCAUUCACCUUCUUCGAGCCACAAACCUUGUACAACAAUUGUGUCUGCGGAACUUGUCUAAACCCAACAACCUCGUACCUUAAAUAACAACCAUUGAGCUGAAUCCUGGCUGCUGCGACAUCACCACAAAGCUUGCUUAUCUUGCUUGGAAUCUUGCUGAUACAAAGAUAACAAUCAGAAGCUGAAAGGUCACCUCUGCAUUGGUAAACUCCGGUGACUGCGUUCUGGCCGUCACCGGUGGUUGUGGCCGCGAAAGUUUUCUGUCCUGAUGCUGCAACAAGAGAAGAUAACAACGUUUGAAGAUUCACUGAAGAUUGUUGUCCUAGUUUUUGCUCUGAACAACCUUUGUAGACAACGUUGGUGUUAUCGGUGGUGAAAACAAGUGAUGAAAAAUUGAGCAGAAUGAGAAAUGAAAGUGUUUGUUUUGUUCUAAGGAUACCCAUUUGUGAGAUUGGAAAGAAAGUGACGUUUUUUUUUGUUAGGUUUUCACUUACUUUGAUGAGUAAUUUGUAGGCUGUAUGUAUCCUAUUGAAGAAGAAGAAGAAGAAGAAGAAAGAAAAAAACAAAAACUCAAGUUUGUUUUUAAAGAGUUUGUUUUCUUGUUUUAUAUGCAACCACCUUGUACUACUUG
rnacentral:lncRNA from 1 species